UACAGAGGUCUCGCGCGUUAGGCGGAAUCACUGGGCUUAAAGCGUGUGUAGGCGGCGGGCUAAGUACCUUGUGAAAUCCCACGGCUUAACUGUGGAACUGCUGGGUAUACUGGUUCGCUUGAGCGGUCUAGGGGCGAGCGGAACAAAUGGUGGAGCGGUGAAAUGCGUAGAUAUCGGGAGGAACACCCGUGGCGAAGGCGGCUCUCUGGCCUGUAACUGACGCUGAGGCGCGAAAGCGUGGGGAGCAAACAGG
rnacentral:rRNA from 1 species